GAUGAACGCUGGCGGCGUGCCUAAUACAUGCAAGUCGAGCGAAUGAUGAGGAGCUUGCUCCUCUGAUUUAGCGGCGGACGGGUGAGUAACACGUGGGUAAUCUGCCUGUAAGACGGGGAUAACUCCGGGAAACCGGGGCUAAUACCGGAUAAUAAGAAGAAACGCAUGUUUCUUUUUUGAAAGUCGGUUUCGGCUGACACUUACAGAUGAGCCCGCGGCGCAUUAGCUAGUUGGUGAGGUAACGGCUCACCAAGGCGACGAUGCGUAGCCGACCUGAGGGGGUGAUCGGCCACACUGGGACUGAGACACGGCCCAGACUCCUACGGGAGGCAGCAGUAGGGAAUCUUCGGCAAUGGGCGAAAGCCUGACCGAGCAACGCCGCGUGAGCGAUGAAGGCCUUCGGGUCGUAAAGCUCUGUUGUUAGAGAAGAACAAGUACGAGAGUAACUGCUCGUACCUUGACGGUACCUAACCAGAAAGCCACGGCUAACUACGUGCCAGCAGCCGCUGUAAUAC
rnacentral:rRNA from 1 species